UGGGGAAUAUUGGACAAUGGGCGAAAGCCUGAUCCAGCAAUGCCGCGUGAGUGAUGAAGGCCUUAGGGUUGUAAAGCUCUUUUACCCGGGAUGAUAAUGACAGUACCGGGAGAAUAAGCCCCGGCUAACUCCGUGCCAGCAGCCGCGGUAAUACGGAGGGGGCUAGCGUUGUUCGGAAUUACUGGGCGUAAAGCGCACGUAGGCGGCUUUGUAAGUUAGAGGUGAAAGCCCGGAGCUCAACUCCGGAAUUGCCUUUAAGACUGCAUCGCUCGAAUCAUGGAGAGGUGAGUGGAAUUCCGAGUGUAGAGGUGAAAUUCGUAGAUAUCUGGAGGAACACCGGUGGCGAAGGCGGCGUCCUGGACCAACACUGACACUGAUGAGCGAAAGCCAGGGGAGCAAA
rnacentral:rRNA from 1 species